GGAGAAAUGACCGAGUGGCUGAAGGUGCGCGCCUGGAAAGUGCGUAUGCUCCAAAAGGGCAUCGUGGGUUCGAAUCCCGCUUUCUCCG
rnacentral:tRNA from 1 species